GGAGACGGAAAGCAGUGAACCUCUGUAAAAGCUUAGAGUCUCCUAAGCAAGGGCAGGGCACCCACCAGGACAGAACAGCAAAUCAAUGACUUCAGUGGCUAAACUAAAGCUUCAUUCUCCUUAAGAAUGACUCUCCUCCAUCGCCACCCUCACCCCACUUGAGGACUUAUCUGGAAUUUCAAAUGUUUGUUCUUGCAAUGCAUCUUCCAUCCUGGGUGACAGGUAGUGUCUGGUUCUGUGACAAUGAAGCAGCCACAAGGCCUCUGUGUCAGCGCUGGAGAGAGAGAGCUUCCUUCCUCCUGUCCUGGACCCCUCCUGGAGGGACGCUCCCAAGGCUGAGAUGACACAGUCAUUUCCCGCAUGCUGCCCAGCACUGACCCACCCGUCGCACUUGUCCUGGUGCUGGUCUGCAGCAGCAGUGAGGGGGACCCCUUUGUGUGAGGGCUGCACUGGCCAUCAUUCAGGAAAAGGCAAUAGAGCCUCUGCAGUCUUUGAACGCCCUCGGUGCCUCCAACGCAUUGGUCUUAGGCCAGCACUCCUCACGGGGGGUGUCUGAGGUCUGCCCAGAAGACACUCUUCCAGCCCAUCGGGUUCUGCAGCCAAAGAGCGUGGUGUCCCCUGGCCCUGGAACGAGUCUCUGUGUGACCCUGAGAGUCCCUGUAGAAACAGCCACAUGGCCCCUCCUUCACGGAGCCCGGCAUUCCUUGUUGAUUUUCAGCUUUCUUACCUGGCCUCCACUGUCCAUCCUUGAGGUGGGCUGGUGCUCUAGGGACUUCCUGCAAUGACAGGUUUAUGUUGAGUAUAGAAAGAAGCUAUUGUAGAACCGUCCAACGAUGGAGCCUUCAGGGGCACAGCAGCCCCAGAGCACACAGUGACAUGCUGGAGAAGCUGGGCAGUGCCCAGGAUCUGGCACAUGGGGACUCGGUUCGCUGAGUUCGCUGAAAGCAAAUCCGUGUUUUGCAUGAGCAGCCUGUGUGUCUGCUGGCUCUAAACCUGCCUUGUUUUGUCCAGCUGUGGCAGGGAUCUGUGACUCCUCGGAAGGCAUUUCGCCUCACUCAGAGUCACAAAAUUCAAGCAAUGACAAGAACAGCGCCUGGAGUAAAAUACCAUUUAAAUUUUAUUUAUAUUCAUUUAUUCACUGUCAAAUAUCCUUUUUAUUUAACCAAAUUUCAAACUGUUAGAAACAGUGGAGGUUAUGGAACCCAGAGUCAGGCAGAUCCUGAGUUUGCCUUUAUUUGCAACUAUGAGCACAGAACUCAUGUAUGUUUGUCUCAGAAAGAUCACAGAAGCACAGGUGCUUAGGAGAGCUGACAUCAAACAUGUGGAAGGAAUUUAACUUCUUCAUGUACUGGUACAACUGAAACAAAUUAUGCCUUUCAUAAGGGACCUGCACUGGGGAGGUCCUGCACCAGCUACUGGAUUGGUUGAGGAAGAUGAGAUAAUAUGAGACCCUAUUUAAUAGGAAGAUUAUUUUACAUAUAAUUUUCCACAUAUAAUUUAGGGAAAAUAGUAAUUUAUUAAAGGACUCUCAGGGACUUGUAGUUGAGAAAAUGUUAACUAUUUGGGUUAAGGGACAUGUUUAUUAACUCUGAGAAUUUAUAGCAUAGUUGUGAGUGGCUGACAUUUAUUAUCUACUAUUUAUUUUUAACAAGUAUAUAUGAUUAAUAAUUAAUAUUUACAAAGUACUUCCACAAAAAUCUUCUUCUGGUGCUCAUGACAAUCCUGUGAGGUAGAUAUUGUGGGUAUUUUAUAUCUACACUAUAUUUUAAAGCUAAAAGAACAAAAGCCAAAAUGAAUAGUUGGCUUGCUCAGGGCACCCACCCAGCCAGCAUGUGGAGGUGUCUGAAAUUAACCUCAGGCCUCUGAUUUCCAAAACCAAUCUGUUGCCCAAGGUCCCAGCUCACAACUAGAGCAUAAGCCUCUUUGAACAGAUCACAGCUUAUGUAUGUAUUCACGCGUAAUCUCCACAGUAGCUAUGCUAGGCCAUUGUAUGUACAUGAAGGUACGUGAAGGAAUGGAUGGAAUUCUCUUACAUUAGGGAAGACGCUAACCUCCCAGCUGAAUUUUGGCUUUAGCACGACACUUAGCAUCUUUCUUGGCUGUUAAAAUAAAGCAUAAUGGGGUGGCAGAAGAGGAUGAUAAACCACCACUAAAUACAGUCGGAUCCCAAAGGUAUGUACUUGGUCUCUCUGUUUCUAUUGGUUCAUUGCCUUUUUCUUAUUCAAAAACAUAUUUAAAAUUUUGAAGUAUCUAAAACAAAAAACAAAUGCAAAUACCACAUACCCAUUCCUCAUGCCCUCACCAAAUGGAUCUGGGGCAAGUUACAAUGCUGCUCCAUUUCCUUCAAGUAGUUAAUUUUCAAACAAUAAACAAUGUGUAAAAACUGUAGCUAAAGCCUCUCCCUCCAUCACAGAGUUAGCCACAGCUCUGAAGUCAGGACGCAUGUCUGUUAAGUUUUCCUGUAUCUACCUAUUUUUUCCUAUACUUACAAGUACAUGCAUGUACCUGAAACACCGCCAAACAUCCUUUUACAUUUUCGUGUUUUGAAUAAAUGGCAUCAUUUUUCCAA
rnacentral:sRNA from 1 species